rnacentral:rRNA from 1 species
AUGUACUUGUCUCGUGGGUGGGAGAAGUUCUACCAUGCCUAUGACCUGCGGCUGGGGUACUUCCUUCUCUUCAAGUACGACGACGAUGCCACCAUGCUCAUCAUGAAGGUUUUCAACACGACUAUGUGUCGCAUGCGCUACGCUGACGAUGAUGAUGCCGGUAAUGAGAGCAGCAGCAGCAACCCUGGUUACAUCCAAAGCAGCAGCGACUAUGGCUGUAGCGAAAGCAGUAGCGAUUCUGGCUGUAGCGAAAGCAGCAACGAUUUUGGCAGCAACAUAGACAACAAGAAGGAUGAUCCGGACUGGAGUGCGGGAGAAGAGGAGUAG